GGCAUCGUGGCGGAGUGGUGACGCACCGGAUUGCAAAUCCGUGAACCCCGGUUCGAUUCCGGGCGAUGCCUCCA
rnacentral:tRNA from 1 species